CCUACGGGAGGCAGCAGUGGGGAAUUUUCCGCAAUGGGCGAAAGCCUGACGGAGCAACGCCGCGUGGGUGACGAAGGAUUUCGGUCUGUAAAGCCCUUUCAGUCGGGACGAGACGAAGACGGUACCGACAGAAGAAGCAUCGGCUAACUACGUGCCAGCAGCCGCGGUAAGACGUAGGAUGCAAGCGUUGUCCGGAAUUAUUGGGCGUAAAGCGUACGUAGGCGGUUUUCUAAGUCUGGGGUUAAAGACCGAGGCUCAACCUCGGGAGUGCCCUGGAAACUGGAAGGCUGGAGGACGGCAGAGGAAAGUGGAAUUCCCAGUGUAGCGGUGAAAUGCGUAGAUAUUGGGAGGAACACCAGUGGCGAAAGCGACUUUCUGGGCCGUUCCUGACGCUGAGGUACGAAAGCCAGGGGAGCAAACGGGAUUAGAUACCCUGGUAG
rnacentral:rRNA from 1 species